rnacentral:ncRNA from 1 species
UAUUAUAAUAUACUAAUUUUUUUAUAAAAUAAAUUUUAAUAUUAAAUUUAAAUUUAAAUUAAUUAGGAAAAUAAAGUAAUAUAAAAUUUAAAUUUGGUUUAAAUAUUAAGUAAAAAUUUUAAAUAAUAAUAAUUAAAAUUUAAAAUAAUUUAUAUAUAAAUAUUUGUUAAUAAAAUUUUUAAAAAAAUAAAUUUAAUUUAAUAAUUAAUUUUAAAUAUAAAAUAAUUUUUUAUUUAGAAUAAAUUUAAAAAUUUAAUUAAAGUUGUGCCAGCAAUUGCGGUUAAACAAUUAAAUUAAUUUAAUAUUUUUAAUUGAAAUAAAUAUGUUAAAAUAAAAUAUAAUUUUUUAAAAAAAAUUUUUAGUGAAAUAUAAUUUUUUUAAUAAAUUUUUAUAAUUAUAUAUGAAAAUUUAAAAUUUAUAUAAUAAACUAGGAUUAGAUACCCUAUUAUAAUUAAUUUUAAAUAUUAAAAUUAAAUAAUUAAUUGAAUUAGAUCACUAAAUUUAAAAAUUUUGGCGGUAUUUUAUUUAUUCAGAGGAAUUUGUUUUAUAAUUGACAGUACACGAUAAGAUUAACUUAAAUUAAAAAUUUAUAUAUUUUUGUUUAUAGAGUAUUUUAAAAAAAAUAUUUUAAAAAUUAUUUGAAUAAAAUAAUUCAGAUCAAAAUGUAGUUUUAUUUAAGAAAAAAUGAAUUACAAUAAAUUAUAUUUAUGAAUUAUUUAAUUUAAAUUAAAUAUGAAAAUGGAUUUGAAAGUAAAUUUUUUUAAUUAAAAAAAUUGAUUUUAAAUUAAAAUAUGUACAAAUUGCCCGUCAUUUUCAAAUAAAUUGAAACAAGUCGUAACAAAGUAAAUUUACUGGAAAGUAAAUUUAGAAUUU